GACGAACGCUGGCGGCGUGCUUAACACAUGCAAGUCGAACGGAAAGGCCCUUCGGGGUACUCGAGUGGCGAACGGGUGAGUAACACGUGGGUGAUCUGCCCUGCACUUUGGGAUAAGCCUGGGAAACUGGGUCUAAUACCGAAUAGGACCACGCGCUUCAUGGUGUGUGGUGGAAAGCUUUUGCGGCGUGGGAUGGGCCCGCGGCCUAUCAGCUUGUUGGUGGGGUAAUGGCCUACCAAGGCGACGACGGGUAGCCGGCCUGAGAGGGUGACCGGCCACACUGGGACUGAGAUACGGCCCAGACUCCUACGGGAGGCAGCAGUGGGGAAUAUUGCACAAUGGGCGCAAGCCUGAUGCAGCGACGCCGCGUGAGGGAUGACGGCCUUCGGGUUGUAAACCUCUUUCAAUAGGGACGAAGCGCAAGUGACGGUACCUAUAGAAGAAGCACCGGCCAACUACGUGCCAGCAGCCGCGGUAAUACGUAGGGUGCGAGCGUUGUCCGGAAUUACUGGGCGUAAAGAGCUCGUAGGUGGUUUGUCGCGUUGUUCGUGAAAACUCACAGCUUAACUGUGGGCGUGCGGGCGAUACGGGCAGACUAGAGUACUGCAGGGGAGACUGGAAUUCCUGGUGUAGCGGUGGAAUGCGCAGAUAUCAGGAGGAACACCGGUGGCGAAGGCGGGUCUCUGGGCAGUAACUGACGCUGAGGAGCGAAAGCGUGGGGAGCGAACAGGAUUAGAUACCCUGGUAGUCCACGCCGUAAACGGUGGGUACUAGGUGUGGGUUCCUUCCUUGGGAUCCGUGCCGUAGCUAACGCAUUAAGUACCCCGCCUGGGGAGUACGGCCGCAAGGCUAAAACUCAAAGGAAUUGACGGGGGCCCGCACAAGCGGCGGAGCAUGUGGAUUAAUUCGAUGCAACGCGAAGAACCUUACCUGGGUUUGACAUGCACAGGACGCCGGCAGAGAUGUCGGUUCCCUUGUGGCCUGUGUGCAGGUGGUGCAUGGCUGUCGUCAGCUCGUGUCGUGAGAUGUUGGGUUAAGUCCCGCAACGAGCGCAACCCUUGUCCUAUGUUGCCAGCGGGUUAUGCCGGGGACUCGUAGGAGACUGCCGGGGUCAACUCGGAGGAAGGUGGGGAUGACGUCAAGUCAUCAUGCCCCUUAUGUCCAGGGCUUCACACAUGCUACAAUGGCCGGUACAAAGGGCUGCGAUGCCGUGAGGUGGAGCGAAUCCUUUCAAAGCCGGUCUCAGUUCGGAUCGGGGUCUGCAACUCGACCCCGUGAAGUCGGAGUCGCUAGUAAUCGCAGAUCAGCAACGCUGCGGUGAAUACGUUCCCGGGCCU
rnacentral:rRNA from 1 species